rnacentral:rRNA from 1 species
AUUGAACGCUGGCGGCAGGCCUAACACAUGCAAGUCGGACGGUAGCACAGAGAGCUUGCUCUUGGGUGACGAGUGGCGGACGGGUGAGUCAUGUCUGGGGAUCUGCCCGAUAGAGGGGGAUAACCACUGGAAACGGUGGCUAAUACCGCAUAACGUCGCAAGACCAAAGAGGGGGACCUUCGGGCCUCGCACUAUCGGAUGAACCCAGAUGGGAUUAGCUAGUAGGCGGGGUAAUGGCCCACCUAGGCGACGAUCCCUAGCUGGUCUGAGAGGAUGACCAGCCACACUGGAACUGAGACACGGUCCAGACUCCUACGGGAGGCAGCAGUGGGGAAUAUUGCACAAUGGGCGCAAGCCUGAUGCAGCCAUGCCGCGUGUAUGAAGAAGGCCUUCGGGUUGUAAAGUACUUUCAGCGGGGAGGAAGGCGGUGCGGUUAAUAACCGCGUCGAUUGACGUUACCCGCAGAAGAAGCACCGGCUAACUCCGUGCCAGCAGCCGCGGUAA